rnacentral:rRNA from 2 species
GAGCUAAUACCGGAUAACAUAGAAGACCACAUGGUCUUCUAUUAAAAGGUGGCUUUUAGCUACCACUUACAGAUGGACCCGCGGCGCAUUAGCUAGUUGGUGAGGUAACGGCUCACCAAGGCGACGAUGCGUAGCCGACCUGAGAGGGUGAUCGGCCACACUGGGACUGAGACACGGCCCAGACUCCUACGGGAGGCAGCAGUAGGGAAUCUUCCGCAAUGGACGAAAGUCUGACGGAGCAACGCCGCGUGAGCGAAGAAGGCCUUCGGGUCGUAAAGCUCUGUUGUUAGGGAAGAACAAGUAUCGUUCGAAUAGGGCGGUACCUUGACGGUACCUAACCAGAAAGCCACGGCUAACUACGUGCCAGCAGCCGCGGUAAUACGUAGGUGGCAAGCGUUAUCCGGAAUUAUUGGGCGUAAAGCGCGCGCAGGCGGUCCUUUAAGUCUGAUGUGAAAGCCCACGGCUCAACCGUGGAGGGUCAUUGGAAACUGGGGGACUUGAGUGCAGAAGAGGAGAGCGGAAUUCCACGUGUAGCGGUGAAAUGCGUAGAGAUGUGGAGGAACACCAGUGGCGAAGGCGGCUCUCUGGUCUGUAACUGACGCUGAGGCGCGAAAGCGUGGGGAGCGAACAGGAUUAGAUACCCUGGUAGUCCACGCCGUAAACGAUGAGUGCUAAGUGUUAGAGGGUUUCCGCCCUUUAGUGCUGCAGCAAACGCAUUAAGCACUCCGCCUGGGGAGUACGGUCGCAAGACUGAAACUCAAAGGAAUUGA